rnacentral:rRNA from 1 species
UACGGGGGGAGCAAGCGUUGUUCGGAUUUACUGGGCGUAAAGGGCGCGUAGGCGGCCACCGCAAGUCGACUGUGAAAUCUCCGGGCUUAACCCGGAAAGGUCAGCCGAUACUGCGGGGCUAGAGUGCAGAAGGGGCAACUGGAAUUCUCGGUGUAGCGGUGAAAUGCGCAGAUAUCGGGAGGAACACCAAUGGCGAAGGCAGCUUGCUGGGACGGUACUGACGCUGAGGCGCGAAAGCGUGGGGAGCAAACAGG